rnacentral:pre_miRNA from 1 species
CUAUUUCCUCGGAAUUUCCUCGGAAUAUUCCGAGGAAAUUCCGAGGAAACCCUUAUCUUCCUCGGAAUUCCGUCGGAAUAUUCCGAGGGAAUUCCGAGGAACUAG